rnacentral:tRNA from 1 species
GCCCAAGUAGCUCAGUUGGCAGAGCGCAGUCUUGGUAAGACUGAGGUCAUCGGUUCGAACCCGAUCUUGGGCU